AGCGGCGGACGGGUGAGUAACACGUGGACAAUCUGCCCCCCGGUCCGGGAUAGCCCAGGGAAACCUGGAUUAAUACCGGAUGAGACGGGACCCGCGGAGGCGGGAUCCGGGAAAGGCGCUGCGGCGCCGCCGGGGGAUGAGUCUGCGUCCCAUUAGCUAGACGGCGGGGUAACGGCCCACCGUGGCGACGAUGGGUAGCCGGCCUGAGAGGGUGGACGGCCACAUUGGAACUGAGACACGGUCCAGACUCCUACGGGAGGCAGCAGCUAAGAAUCUUCCGCAAUGGGCGAAAGCCUGACGGAGCGACGCCGCGUGAACGAAGAAGGCCGUGAGGUUGUAAAGUUCUUUUCGGGAGGGGGAACAACCGUGGCAGGGAAUGGCCGCGGGAUGACGUGAAUCCCGGAAUAAGCCCCGGCUAACUACGUGCCAGCAGCCGCGGUAACACGUAGGGGGCGAGCGUUGUUCGGAAUCAUUGGGCGUAAAGGGCGUGCAGGCGGUCCUGCAAGUCCGGCGUGAAAGACCCCGGCCCAACCGGGGGGACGCGCUGG
rnacentral:rRNA from 1 species